UACGUAGGGACCAAGCGUUGUUCGGAUUUACUGGGCGUAAAGGGCGCGUAGGCGGCCCCACAAGUCACUUGUGAAAUCUCCGGGCUUAACUCGGAACGGCCAAGUGAAACUGUGGAGCUAGAGUGUGGAAGGGGCAAUCGGAAUUCUUGGUGUAGCGGUGAAAUGCGUAGAUAUCAAGAGGAACACCUGAGGUGAAGACGGGUUGCUGGGCUGACACUGACGCUGAGGCGCGAAAGCCAGGGGAGCAAACGGG
rnacentral:rRNA from 1 species